rnacentral:lncRNA from 1 species
ACAGGUAUCAGGGCACCCAGAGCCACCACUGUGUCCAGAACGGCAUUUCCACUUCACUGGCCAGGUCUAAAGUCCUGAGGGGCCUUUGCUCCAGGGACCCAGGGUACCUCCCUCAGCAGGGCAGGAACUAGGCCAGGAAUACCAUGGGGCACUGAAGGAGGAGCCUCCCUCUAUCCCUGUAACCCUCCAUCCCUGUACCUCUCCAUCCCUCCAUCCCUGCACCCCUCCGUCCCUGUGCCCCUCUAUCUCUCCAUCCCUGCACCCCUCCAUCCCUGUACCCCAUCCCUGUACCCCUCCGUCCCCCAUCCCUGCACCCCUCCAUCCCUGUACCCCUCCAUCCUUCCAUCCCUGCACCCUCCAUCCCUGUACCCCUCCAUCCCUCCAUCCCUGUACCCCUCCAUCCUUCCAUCCCUGCACCCUCCAUCCCUGUACCCUUCCAUCCCUCCAUCCCUGCAUCCCUCUGUCCCUGCACCCCUCCAUCCCUCCAUCCCUGCACCCCUCCUUCGUUGUACCCCUCCAUCCUCCAUCUCUGCAUCCCUGCACCCCUCCAUCCUCCAUCCCUGUACCCUUACAUUCUCCAUCCCUGCAUUCCUCCAUCGCAGCAUCCCUGCAUGCCUCCGUUCUCUGCAUCCCUCCACCCCAGUAUCCCUGCACCUCUUCAUCCCUCCAUUCCUGCAUCCCUCUAUUUUUCCAUCCCUCCAUUCCUGUAUCCCUGUGCCCUCCAUCCUCCAUCCCAGCAUCCCUCCAUCCCUGCUCCCCACUCUCACUUCCCUUCCCUUCACAGACAGGCUUUUCCUGCCAUCCUCAGACCCCACCCAGGGUUACCUGAUGCCUUUCCAGCUGCACACGGGGACUGACUCACCUCUCUCUUUCUCAGUCCCAAAGUCCCGAAAGAGAGCAUCUGAUGUGGUCAGCUUGUGACAAGGCGUCCACCUUCUGUCCAUGACAUGGAGGCCAGGGGAAGGUCUCACUGCCCAGCACCCCACCCUGUGCUCCCAGGCCUUUUGAAUGUUCCUCCUGCUCAGCCCAGUGACUGCGGGCUGUGGCUCCUCCUCCAGCCUCCCCUCGAGGUCCUGGUCUUACUUAGGAGGCCCCGGGUGUAGAUGCCUUCCCACCCACCAGGCAUUGCCCCUUUUCCUGGCUUCACAGACUCGGGAAUAAAGUUUCCUUCUGUUUCCCCUCUUGCAGAAGGAGAUCCGGUUGGCAGCUAAACCGCGCUGGGAACAGGGGCCUGAGUCCUGGACUAGGGCUCUUUCCCCGGGGCUGCUGCAGAUGGGGAGGAGCCUACACCCGCCUCCCGAGUGCUAAUCAGACCUGACAGGCUGGAGAAUGGCCAGUCAGCCUGAGGCCACCGCGGGACACCACCUAGGCCCAGCUUCUCCCCCCACCAGAGGGCGCCAGAGCCCGCCAAGCCUCGUAGGAGAUGGCAACAGGGCCUGCUGCUGCCACCUAGCGGCCAAUUCCGGGAAUGAAUCUCGGCACGCUCAUUACCCAGCGACUCUGCCCAUCUUGACCCUUUAUGUGAAGCAGAACAGCCGCUUCCGCAGUGAGCUGUCAGAAGGCGUCGUGCCUGUCUUGCUAGUGGGGAAACUGAGGCUCAGAGAGGCAGAAGACUUGCCCAAGAUCACACCACCGGGACCCAGGAUUCAAGCGCAGGCCUGCCCAGGCUCUCUGUGGCCUCCUGGCUGCGAGGAGGCAGCCAGGGACCAGGUGCCACCCUUCUGAGACACCUGAGAUCCCAGGCCCGAGAGGAUGAAGGCGGGAUUACCUGGAGCGUGUCUGAAUGCUGGAGGAAGAAGGGCAGCUGGGAGAUGAAGCUGUCAGGAUGGGCCGCAUCCCAUUUCCUGCCUCGUUUCAGUUCAACUUUCCAACAGACCUCCCUGGCUCGUCUUGCUCUUCUCUAAUGGACAAACAAACAGGCUCAGAGAGGUGGUGUGACUUGCCCAAGGUCACUCAGCUUGGAUGCUAUGGAACAGGGACGUCCACUGUCCCAGUCUGUUUAUGGGAAGCCGCUCUGCAACUGUCCUGACCCACCACAUGCCCCACCGCUGUUUCUCUUGCCCUGACCCCUUGUUCCCUGGACCAGGGUGGCACAGCUCCAGGCUCUUGGGCCCUUCCCGAGGGCAGGCACCUGUGACUGUGUCCCCAAAGACCUGAGUGGCUGAGGGGGCCCCACAGAGCUUGGACUUCCUGGAGGACAAGGAGGGGUCUGCCAGCCACCCCCACCACGCCCGCCCCAGGGCUCCCCUGGAGCUUCCAUGCCAGCCGGACUCAGGUGGGUCUGGAGGAGCACCGUGCCUCCAAUCAGACCUUGAGAUGUGCCCCCUGCCCCCACUGUGCCCUCCCCUGCCCAGGAGUCUGGUUGCAAACCCUGAUUAAGGGGAUUUUAUCUCCACCAGAGGGCCAGUAGGUGGGAAGUAGCUUAAACAAUGCAGGUUUAUAAUCUCACAGUUCUGGAGGUCAAGAGUCUGAAAUGGGCCUCAUGGGGCUAAAACCAAGGUGUCUGCAGGGCUGUGUUCCUUCUGGAGGCUCCAGGGCAGGAAGGGGAGGAUCCACUUCUGUGCCUUUCCAGCUUCUAGAGGCUGCCUGCGUUCCUUGGCUCGUGGCCCCUUCCUCCACCUUCAAGCCAGCAGCGGAGGCCUGAGUCCUUCUCAUGCCAUCUCUCUGUUCUCUCUCCUGCCUCCUCCUCCACACUGAAGGACCCCUGUGAUCACACUGGCCCCCCCACCGGAUGACCCAGGAUAAUCCAUCUCCCUGUUUGAAGGUCGGCUGAUUAGCAACCUUCAUUCCAUCUGCCUCCUUCAUUCCCCCUGGCCAUGUAAUGGGAUUCACAGCUUCUGGGGAUUAGGACAUGGACAUCUUGUGGCGGGGGCAUAAUUCUGUCGACGACACCAAGAAACACUUGGAUGUUAAGGAUUCACCGAACACUGUUCAGGCUCCAGGUGCUGGGAGCAGCAGUGAACAAAGCCAACAGACACUGCCACCCUCAAGGAGUUCACGUUCAUGGGCGAGGGAACAGAUGAGAAACCCGGCAAUGAAAAUUUCCUCAUCAGGUCAUUCUGGUGGAAUGGAAGUGCAACCGUGAGGUCGCCAGUUGGCCGGCAUUGUUAAGCAAGGGCAGCAGAAGGCUGGGAGGGACGGAGCCAGUCCCCCACCCUCUCCUCCAGCCCCCGCCCACCACAAAUUCACAGUGAGAGGCACCUCACUGCCUUGACAUUCAGAAAAGAGUGAAAUAAAGAAACCCUCGCAGCGCAGGAAAUAACUGGAUUCCACCUUCAAGGUUAUUGAGGUUCCUCCCUCUCUCUCCACGCCCCCAGUCAAACCCUGAAAUCCUAAGGCUGGGGGCAAGCCCUUCCCCAACCUGCCAAAGGAAAGGAGCCAGGGCUGCUGCCUUCUGGCCGCUUUUCUGCCUCCAGUCCCAAAAGGAAUUUCUCUGGACAGAUGUGACUGCAGCGGCCCAAGGCCCCCCUUCUCCUCCUCCUCCCAUCCCACUGGGCGGGCUUGGGAAGGUACAAUCAACCAUGAACAUAAAUAUGAAUAAAAAAUGAACUUGAAAAUGACAAGCUAUUAAUUAAACAAAUCUAUAAAAAUAGUUAGGACAUAACUCUGUUCAAAUAAAUACAAAAUAAAUAGGUUCCAAGCAGUGACACAAGUGGAAUGUGGGGCUGGUCCCGCUGCGCCCCUGCUGGGGUUGGACAGGAACCCCCAGGGCGUCAGAACAGACUCUGAGCAGUCAGCCAAGCUCCUGCUCCCUCGUCUUCCUCUGGAAGCACAGAAGUCGCUCAUUUGUCCGGCUUGUCCUUCUGGACAAAACCCUUUUCCCAACAGUCCAUAAUUAAGGCCUCCAACACCUUUUCCUUCCCUCCCCAGAACACACAAACGCUCUGCCCUUCGCCCUCAAACAUGGUGCUCCACUGCCCUCAUGCCACAGUGGGGACAGUGAGUUUGGUUCUGAGGUGGGGCCCAUCCUGACAGGGUCCAGGCCAGCUCAGAGCACCAUGAGCCCCAGCACUUGCCUUCUGUGCAGCCAGGCCAGGCAGCCCGAGCCCCCUGCACUCCCAAGCAUGCCCGAGAGCCCCAGCCAUCAGCAGGGCUCAGAUGCCAGUGACCACAAGGCCAGAUCCUUUCCUCUUCCUUCACAGCCAAGUUGGCGUCAAUGCUGUAGGUUGGGAAGUCAGGCCUGGGAGGCCACGUGACCUCACCUUUCAUCAUGGAUUAUGGGAUUGGACGAGGGGGUGGGAUGUGGGCUGUAGCCCUCCUCCCACCUUACCUCAGCAGACAGGCAGGCAGCAAGAGGGCACAGGGAGAUGCACGGCAGACCAGAGGGCAGGGGCCGUGGCCAACAGCUGGCUGCAAGGGUGAAAUGGAAGAACUAAGCCGGCCUCCAGGCUCCAAGCUCGCUAUUGGCAGGCACUGCAGAAAAUGUCCUGUCCUUACACAUGUGAGCCCGGAGCCUGCUGACCCUGGACCCUAAGGAAUGCCUGUGGUCUUCGCUGGAACCAACAGGAGGGUCUGCUGGGGUCAGCAGGACAAGCCCUGGGCCUGCCAGCUCUCCCCACCCUCCCUGCGGGUGCGUCUAGGGUUUUCACAGCUUGGCUCGAGACAGCUUAGUGUUGGCACAUUCACAGAAUGAGAUGGCUGCACACCCCAGGCUGCGGCCCAGGAUCAGCGAGUCCACUGCCGGGCGGCCCUCCCCCCGUCACCGCGACUGCACGCCCAGGGUGAUCUUCAGGUUCUCGUAGACCACGUAGCUGAUGCUCACAGCUGGGAUGACCUUCAUGAAGUUGGGGGCCAGCCCCCUGUACAGCCCGAAGGCCCCCUCGGUCCGCAGGAUAUGUUUGAAGAGGCUGCUCAUGGUCACCUCCGGAGCGCCCUCAAUAGAGGCUGCAGGAUGGAGGCCACCAGUCAGAUGCUUCUGUCCGCUCCCCCCGACCUCCCAGGGGACUGUCCAGGGCCAGCCUUACCUUGCGCCUGCAUCCGGGUCCUGACUAGGGCCAGGGGGUAGCUGGCCAGCUGGCCACAGGUACUGGACAUGGUGCCACAGGCCAGGAGCACAAACACGCCGGGGUCCGCGCUGUUCACUGCAUAGUGCUGCAGCCAGGCAUUCUUGAGCGUCUAGAAGGAGAAGGGAGCAUGGGAUAAGCCCUAGGAAGGGCUAGUGAGGCAGCAAGAGACGGGGCUGUUACUGGGUCCUCAGGCCACUGGAACCCGACUGCCGCGCCUGGGGCCUGGCUGGGCUCCUAGCCUGGCUGCCCUGUUUCUGCUGUCACUGGGAAUUCCGGGACAAGGUAGAGGGAACACCUCCUUCCCCACACAGAAGGGCUGACUUCUGGGGUCUGUCUAGAGUGUGCUGGGGCCUGUGAGCUCCUGGGGGCCACCCUGCUCUGGGGAUCUGCCUGCUGAGCCUCUGGGGAUGCAGAGCCUGGGUGCAGGGCUCACAGGAGCUGCUGGGGUCUGCCAGGGGCAGGCAGGGUGAAGGAAAGCUGCAGUAAACAGAAGAGCAGGAAGGAGGCGCAGUCUUUGAUGCAGUUUCCUGCACUAACCACGCGUCCGUCAAGGAGGGAGACAGCAGGUGGAGGUGUGCUGGGAGGAGGUUUCUAAAUCUGUCCAGCUUGGGCCUCACCUCGUAGACUGCAAGGUCGAUGCCGGCAUAGGGGAUGAUGCCCAGCAUGUUGGGGACAUAGCCUUUGUAGAAGGCGGCCACCCCCUCUCUGGCCAGGAUCCUCCUGGCGCAGUCCAGCAUUCCUGAGUACUGGCCUGUCUUCCGCAGCGCCAUCCGGGUCUUCAGGACCUGCACAACAGGAGCAGCGGGACGCGUGAGCACAGCCUGUGCCUCUCCCCAGUCCUGUGCCCACUGCCCGCCCCAGGACCCAGGCGGCCCCUCACCUCCAUUGGGUAGAUGCUGCUCUGGGCGAUGGCCCCUGCCAAGGACCCUGCCACAAGCCUCUCGUGAAUCCUCAGAGUCUCCUGGUCACUACCAACAAGGCGCUUGAUCUAGAACCAGGAACAAACAAACCACCUGAUAUACCCAGAGGUUGGGGCACCUGCUGCUGCCCCUCCCUUCCAGGAGUCCCCGGCACAUUUUAUGCUACCCAG